CCGGUAAACGGCGGCCGUAACUAUAACGGUCCUAAGGUAGCGAAAUUCCUUGUCGGGUAAGUUCCGACCUGCACGAAUGGCGUAAUGAUGGCCAGGCUGUCUCCACCCGAGACUCAGUGAAAUUGAACUCGCUGUGAAGAUGCAGUGUACCCGCGGCAAGACGGAAAGACCCCGUGAACCUUUACUAUAGCUUGACACUGAACACUGGUCCUUGAUGUGCAGGAUAGGUGGGAGGCUUUGAAGCGUGGACGCCAGUCUGCGUGGAGCCGUCCUUGAAAUACCACCCUUUAAUGGCUGGUGUUCUAACGUGGGCCCCUGACCGGGGUUGCGGACAGUGUCUGGUGGGUAGUUUGACUGGGGCGGUCUCCUCCCAAAGAGUAACGGAGGAGCACGAAGGUUGGCUAAUCCUGGUCGGACAUCAGGAGGUUAGUGCAAUGGCAUAAGCCAGCUUGACUGCGAGCGUGACGGCGCGAGCAGGUGCGAAAGCAGGUCAUAGUGAUCCGGUGGUUCUGAAUGGAAGGGCCAUCGCUCAACGGAUAAAAGGUACUCCGGGGAUAACAGGCUGAUACCGCCCAAGAGUUCAUAUCGACGGCGGUGUUUGGCACCUCGAUGUCGGCUCAUCACAUCCUGGGGCUGAAGUAGGUCCCAAGGGUAUGGCUGUUCGCCAUUUAAAGUGGUACGCGAGCUGGGUUUAGAACGUCGUGAGACAGUUCGGUCC
rnacentral:rRNA from 1 species